rnacentral:misc_RNA from 1 species
AAGUCGUAACAAGGUUUCCGUAGGUAACCUGCGGAAGGAUCAUUAAAAAGUGAUUGGUUAUACAUUUCAUGUAUCAACUGCAUUAACCCAUUCCCGAGUACCUUGCCUGUUGCUUCCAUGGGGCCUGACCUAGGUCACUCAUUGUGACGUGAAACCCAAGAGAGUCCCCAUGGGAGGUAAUCAUUAAAUUCAUGAUAUCCAAUGUCCUCUGUCUGAACUGUUUAUAACAAAUGUUAAAA